CUCGCGAAACGGAGUGAGACUACGGAAGCCUGAAUGUUUGAGCUAAGCUUUUCCUGAGUUAGGGGCUAGUUAUGGCUUCCACAUAGUAGUGUGUGUAAGAUGACUUUUAAAAAAUUUCCCUGGUGUUAUUCUUACAUUGCAAUGGCCCGAGCUUUAAUCUAGGAAAAGUAGUAACUCAUCCUUUAAUUUAGUGAGACGCAUGUAAGUAUCAGUGUCCCAAACUGGUGAGAACUCCGUACGAGUUACAAAGGCUUUUCCCUCAAAGUACUGAUUGAAUAAAUCACUGGCUACGUCUCAGGCAUGAGCACACCAGAACGACUGCUUGGUAGGCUAGAUGUCAGAAGUAAGGAAGAACAAGAACAUCCCUUAUGCACUCGAAUUGUGUUCUCCAUCCGUAACCCCAUUCACUGUUAGUUAUUUUGGCGUUAACUUAAAACUAGAAUAGCUUUAAUGCCUGGAUAUAUGCUUUUUUUUCUUUUAUCUAAGUGGGUUCUGAAAAUUCAGUGCCCAUGAGAUCUACUGUAUGAUGUUGUGUACACUAAAGUCAAUAUACUGUACAUAUGGGUAAUUCAAGUCAUUUUCCAAAGGUAGUGUCACUUAAGGUUUUUUUUCUCUGUUACGUAUUGACUGGAGAACCUAACCACUGUAUUUCAUAUACUCUCAUGUAAGAGACCGAGGAAACAGGCCCAGAGAAUCUCGGUAAAUUGAUCAAUGUCAUGCUGGUGAAAGGCAGAGUUAGGAUUCCAUCUUGGCCUUAGACUCCUCACAGGCAGAGUUGCUGGAGAGAGUAUAUUUAUCAUACAGAAGGACCAACUUUAAUUUUGAGAACAAGUUUUAUUUCAGUAUAAAUUUGUUUUAUUUUAAUAUAUUAAAAUCUGUACCACUAUGUGUAAUUUAGUAUAGUACUCUUGAACAAAAAUAAAUGGUAGCAAUUAAUCCGCUCCCUCUCCAGCUACAUGUCUGUGGGGAGAUCAAUCGUCCUUUCACUGUUUCAGCACCUGGAUAGAAGACCCAGCCCAGAAUCUAGUGUAUGCUGUCACACCACUUUGUGAAAAAUCCUGGCAAAUAGGACCUGGACAUAUAAAGAUGAAGAAAACCCCACCUUGAGCAACAAGACUCCAGUAAAGAAGCAGAUAUAAGAAGAAACACAUAGGGCACAGUGACCAUGCAGCUUAUUUGGAGCAGUGCAACUCAUAAUGGAAAAGCAGCUAGAAACCAUGCUAUAUGAAGAACAACUGAAGGGACUGGGACUUUAGAAAUUCUGCAUCAUUCAAUCUACUGGGUUCCACACUUGUCCAUACCUACUGUCUUUCUGAGUUGAAUCAUCACUUUUUAUUUAUAUCAGAGUUGUAAUGUAAUUGUAGACAUUUCACUGUCUUUUGGUUUGAAAUUGCUUUAAUUUCCAUUAUCAAUGGAAUUUCUAAGUUGUAAUGCUUUUAUUUUGCUAUCUUCAAGAUGUAGACCUUGAAGAGAUAUGAUUUCUACAAAACAGAUUCCAUGUUGGACACUGUGUAAACGUUAUCUCCCAUUUUGCAUGAGUCAUUGAUUCCAGAUAACUUUCCUUUUUGAGCUUUAAAACUACACUCUAAAACUCUAGCAGCCUAGGGCUUUGCUGUUAGCCAUUCCAUGACCAUUUCUGUGGUCAUAUUUCAACUUCUUUUCCAAUAAUAACAACUAAACCAAACAUCAUCAUGUUAGAAAAGAUUUUUUACUUUUUUGUUGUUGCUAUUUUUCUGUGACUAUUAGACUUUUCAUUGGCUGAUGAUCCAGAAUUUAUUGUGUUCAUUUUCAUUGGGAUAUGGUGACUAGGUGAAUAUGAAAAUUAUAAUUAAUUCAUUUGCUUGUUUAUUGAAUAUCUAUUUGUGCCAAGCACCUGUAGGUGCAGGGAGUCCAGUGAUGAACAAGCCAUAUGAACAACCUAACUGAAAAAAGGUAGCAUGAAUGGUUAUUGCUGAUGUUUUGUUUUCAUCAUGAUGAAUCUUCCUUAAAUCAAUACCCAUGGACUUAGAUAUGAAAGAAAAGUAGAUUGUUUUUAUAGGUUUUAUCAGUUCCACAGAUAAAAAACUACUACCCUUGUUAAAAUGUAAACAUUUAGAGAAGAAUAAAAUUCACCAUAGUAUAAUAUAAUUUCACAAUCAAAUAACUUCUCAUUGAUUAUCUCUGUACAAUUAAAAUUUUUCAAGCCUC